rnacentral:rRNA from 1 species
GAUGAACGCUAGCGGGAGGCUUAACACAUGCAAGUCGAGGGGCAGCACGGGUAGCAAUACCUGGUGGCGACCGGCAGACGGGUGAGUAACGCGUAUGUAACCUACCCUGUACAGGGGGAUAACCCGGAGAAAUUCGGACUAAUAUCCCAUAGAAAUAUUGGAAGGCAUCUUUUGAUAUUUAAAGUUCCGGCGGUACGGGAUGGGCAUGCGUAACAUUAGCUAGUUGGUAAGGUAACGGCUUACCAAGGCUUUGAUGUUUAGGGGUCCUGAGAGGGUGAUCCCCCACACUGGUACUGAGACACGGACCAGACUCCUACGGGAGGCAGCAGUGAGGAAUAUUGGUCAAUGGGCGCAAGCCUGAACCAGCCAUCCCGCGUGCAGGAAGACGGCCCUAUGGGUUGUAAACUGCUUUUCCAGGGGGAGAAACUUGCGCACGUGUUGCGCAAUUGACGGUACCCUGGGAAUAAGCAUCGGCUAACUCCGUG